rnacentral:rRNA from 1 species
GACGAACGCUGGCGGCGUGCCUAAUACAUGCAAGUUGAGCGCUGAAGGUUGGUACUUGUACCAACUGGAUGAGCAGCGAACGGGUGAGUAACGCGUGGGGAAUCUGCCUUUGAGCGGGGGACAACAUUUGGAAACGAAUGCUAAUACCGCAUAAAAACUUUAAACACAAGUUUUAAGUUUGAAAGAUGCAAUUGCAUCACUCAAAGAUGAUCCCGCGUUGUAUUAGCUAGUUGGUGAGGUAAAGGCUCACCAAGGCGAUGAUACAUAGCCGACCUGAGAGGGUGGUCGGCCACAUUGGGACUGGGACACGGCCCAAACGCCUGCGGGAGGCAGCAGUAGGGAAUCUUCGGCAAUGGACGAAAGUCUGACCGAGCAACGCCGCGUGAGUGAAGAAGGUUUUCGGAUCGUAAAACUCUGUUGGUAGAGAAGAACGUUGGUGAGAGUGGAAAGCUCAUCAAGUGACGGUAACUACCCAGAAAGGGACGGCUAACUACGUG